GAUGAACGCUGGCGGCGUGCCUAAUACAUGCAAGUCGAGCGAACAGACGAGGAGCUUGCUCCUCUGACGUUAGCGGCGGACGGGUGAGUAACACGUGGAUAACCUACCUAUAAGACUGGGAUAACUUCGGGAAACCGGAGCUAAUACCGGAUAAUAUAUUGAACCGCAUGGUUCAAUAGUGAAAGACGGUUUUGCCGUCACUUAUAGAUGGAUCCGCGCCGCAUUAGCUAGUUGGUAAGGUAACGGCUUACCAAGGCGACGAUGCGUAGCCGACCUGAGAGGGUGAUCGGCCACACUGGAACUGAGACACGGUCCAGACUCCUACGGGAGGCAGCAGUAGGGAAUCUUCCGCAAUGGGCGAAAGCCUGACCGAGCAACGCCGCGUGAGUGAUGAAGGUCUUCGGAUCGUAAAACUCUGUUAUUAGGGAAGAACAAAUGUGUAAGUAACUAUGCACGUCUUGACGGUACCUAAUCAGAAAGCCACGGCUAACUACGUG
rnacentral:rRNA from 1 species